rnacentral:tRNA from 1 species
AUCUAAUUGAUUAAAAAACAAAACUACUGACUUGUAAUCAGUAGGUCACCAGUUCGACUCCGGUAGCCGGUACCA